rnacentral:rRNA from 1 species
UUGUUCCUACGGGACGCAGCAGUGGGGAAUAUUGCACAAUGGGGGAAACCCUGAUGCAGCGACGCCGCGUGAGUGAAGAAAUAUUUCGGUAUGUAAAGCUCUAUCAGCAGGGAAGAUAAUGAUGGUACCUGACUAAGAAGCCCCGGCUAACUACGUGCCAGCAGCCGCGGUAAUACGUAGGGGGCAAGCGUUAUCCGGAUUUACUGGGUGUAAAGGGUGCGUAGGUGGCAGGGCAAGUCAGAUGUGAAAGCCCGGGGCUCAACCCCGGUACUGCAUUUGAAACUGUCCAGCUGGAGUGCAGGAGG